rnacentral:rRNA from 1 species
UUAGCUUGAGUACUGUAGAAGAAGGCGGAAUUCCUGGAGUAGCGGUGGAAUGCACAGAUAUCAGGAAGAACACCAAAAGCGAAGGCAGCCUUCUAGGCAGUUACUGACACUCAGGAGCGAAGGUGUGGGGAGCAAACAGGAUUAGAUAUCCUGGUAGUCCACACAGUCAACGAUGAUCACUAGGUUUUGGUGGGAUUAAAAUCCAUCAGAGCUAAAGCCAAAGUAUUAAGUGAUCCGCCUGGGGAGUACGUCCGCAAGGAUGAAACUCAAAGGAAUUGACGGGGACCCGCACAAGCGGUGGAGCAUGUUCUUUAAUUCGAUGCAACACUAAGAACCUUACCUGGGAUUGACAUCCGUGGAACCGCUAUGAAAGUAGCGAGUGCUCACUUUGUGAGAACCACGUGACAGGUACUGCAUGGCUGUCGUCAGUUCGUGUCGUAAGAUGUUGGGUUAAGUCCCGUAACGAACGCAACCCCUGUCUUUAGUUGCCAGCAUUAAGUUGGGGACUCUAGAGAGACUGCCAAGGUGACAACUUGGAGGAAGGUGGGGAUGACGUCAAGUCAUAUGGUCCUUACAUCCAGGGCGAGAAACGUGCUACAAUGGUUGGUACAAUGGGGAGCAAAAUCGCAAGAUUGAGCAAAUCCUCAAAACUAAUCUCAGUUCGGAUUGGAGUCUGCAACCCGACUCCUGAAGUUG